rnacentral:rRNA from 1 species
UACGUAGGGUGCAAGCGUUGUCCGGAAUUAUUGGGCGUAAAGAGCUCGUAGGCGGUUUGUCGCGUCUGCUGUGAAAACUCAGGGCUUAACCCUGAGCCUGCAGUGGGUACGGGCAGACUAAAGUGUGGUAGGGGAGAUCGGAAUUCCUGGUGUAGCGGUGGAAUGCGCAGAUAUCAGGAGGAACACCGGUGGCGAAGGCGGAUCUCUGGGCCAUAACUGACGCUGAGGCGCGAAAGCUAGGGGAGCAAACAGG